UUUCCGUAGGUGAACCUGCGGAAGGAUCAUUAUUGUAUAACCGAGGUGCGAGGGCUGUCGCUGACCCGAAAGGUCGUGCACGCCCGAGUGCCCUCACACACAUCCAUCUCACCCCUAUGUGCACCACCGCGUGGGUCCCCCUUUGGCUUGUUCGGAGGGGGGCUUACGUUUUCACACAAACUUUGUAUGCAGUGUAGAAUGAAUUUUUUGUUUUUGCGAUCACGCAAUCAAUACAACUUUCAACAACGGAUCUCUUGGCUCU
rnacentral:misc_RNA from 1 species